rnacentral:lncRNA from 1 species
AUGUCGUAUGCUGCAUCAGCGAACAGGAGUGGUAAAACACGUGAACCAAGACAAAACACGUCAACAAACAAGGAGGGUGGAAGAGGAAAAGCGAUUGGAAGCAGUGACCCAACAAAAAACCGUGAGACAGAGGGUAAGAAUGGCAAGAAUGGAGAACGCUCGCCUAACGCACGCCAAACUAAAGACAGCACCGAGCUCCGAAGCGCGAGGUCCAGCGCGAGGUCCAGCGCCGGUUACGACGGAACACCAGGAGGGAGGGGGCCCAAGGCAUCCAGGCCCGGUGCUUUUCUUUCAAACCGGUAUGAAACAAGCGAGGAGGACGACGUUAUGAUACGAAGCAUGAGAGGUGAGAGCCAGGAGGAAACGCUGCAUUCAGAUAUAAUGGCAGCGGUCGACGCUGAAACUGACUCAAUACUGGCUGAUUUUGGCACAGAGGAUUUAACCAAAAUUGUGCUCAUCACUAUCAAAGCAGCAGUACCAGCAAUAGUCAAAGCGGUGCAGAAACAACUUUUGGCAUCAGUGGACACUACCCGAAUUAACAAAAAUAUACUGCAGAGCAGGUACAAGGAAGACGAACUGGAGCAGUACACACGCAAGGAAAAUGUGCGCAUCAGCGGGAUCGAGGAGGAGAACGGAGCGGAGACCGAGGAUCAACUUGUGGAAAAAGUGUGUAAACUGGUAGCGACCUCAGGCACGUCAAUUAAAGAAAGUGACAUCUCCACUGCGCACCGCCUGGGGAGAGUGAGACAACAGGGUGAGGCCCGACCUGUCAUUGUCAGAUUUGUGAGCAGGAGAAAGAAAGCUGAACUGUUGAGGAGCAAAGCGUUGCUGAGAAACCAUGACACUCACAGGAAUAUCUUCGUUAACGAAGACCUCACACAUCUGAGAUACAGGCUGUUCAAGUGUGCCAGGGAGAAAUGCCAACACACUUUUAUUAGGGACGGGAAAGUGAUCUGCAAAAGUGAAGGCCAGUACGUCACUAUAAACAAUCCCGACGACCUGUUCCUUAUUGGGUAUGACGAUGUGGACUACAAAGCCUUUGGUAUUGACCUAUAG